rnacentral:pre_miRNA from 1 species
CAGAAACUGAUUUCAUUUGGUGACAUAGAUGUUUGUAGUUUUUCCUCUAGCACCACAUGAAUUCAGUGUUCU